CAGACCUGCUUGAUCUCCUACGGUUUACUACCACUUCUGAGGCUAUUAUCUCGAGUGUUGAGGGCUUGAGGUUGAAGAUCAUACUCAUCUACGUGGUUAGUUAAACUUUCCUAUCCAGUAGCGUUUAUGGUGAGUCCUCAUUUAUCGGAGACUAGUUAUCUAGUUAGUUAUUAUUUUUAAAGACUUUUUCUAUAUUUCAUAUUGAGGGUGAGCUAGGGACAUGUCUUAGCCUCCGCCCAUAUUCAUGAGUAGAGGCAUCUAGUUGGACAAAUGUUUCAAGUUUAUGUUGUCAUGUGACGUUCUUAAAUUUCUAUUCAUAGUUUAAACUCUCU